CUGCCUGCAGGGCAGAGCAGCAGGAAAAAGCAGAAAGUGCUUGUGCAGCUGGACACUGAGUCAGACAGCUCUGAGCACACUGACCUCCUGAGCCCAGCUCCAUGCAGUGUGAAAUCUCCAGGCUCUGCUCUGAAACUCAAAACCAUGAGGAGGAUGCGCGAGGCGGGCUGGACUGCGCUCUCCAAAAUGGACAGGAAAAGGAAAAUUAAAGAUGCUGUAAAGAUGCUGUAAAGAUGCUCUUUGCUUAAAAUCCAGAAAUGCCCAGUGCCCUGGCAUUGCUUGCAGGGCUGUUUUUCUCUCAGAGUUGGUGCUUUGUUGCAUUUUUCUGUCAUACUCAGUGUGUAUAAUACUGUGUUCAUUCCUUUACACAUAUAAACUUUAUAGAUCUAUAACUGCAACCCCUGCAGAGCAUCUUCCACCUUUCCUCCCUUGUGCUUCAAAAUGUUGGGACACAAAUUAGCCAAUUUUAAAUUUGGAAAUAAAUAGAACUACACAGAAAGUUGUUUCAAAGCUGCUUCUGGCUUAGAAAUUAGAAAUUCUGGUUUCAAAGAACUUCUGUUCUUUUACAUUUACUCUGUUUUCCUUAACAUAUAACUACUUAGUGGAAGAAAUGUAGCUGUUAAAUGAAUGUUCUUUUACCUGAAGUCCUCUUGCUUUUUCCUGCAUUUUAAUGGCUGUUAGACCUGUCUUUUUAGACUGUUUUGUUUUCAGUAUGUUAAAAUGGUUUCGAAACUUCUAAAAUUUCAGUAGAAUUACUUGUAUUUAAAAAGAUUUCAGCUUCACAAGGAGUAAAAUAUGCACGUUAUAAGAUUGUGAAACCAAUGUGAAGAUGCCAUUAAAUUGUUUAUCUGAA